rnacentral:rRNA from 1 species
UGGCGGACGGGUGAGUAAUGUCUGGGAAACUGCCCGAUGGAGGGGGAUAACUACUGGAAACGGUAGCUAAUACCGCAUAACGUCGCAAGACCAAAGAGGGGGACCUUCGGGCCUCUUGCCAUCGGACGUGCCCAGAUGGGAUUAGCUAGUAGGUGGGGUAACGGCUCACCUAGGCGACGAUCCCUAGCUGGUCUGAGAGGAUGACCAGCCACACUGGAACUGAGACACGGUCCAG